rnacentral:lncRNA from 1 species
UUUUGCCCAAACUAUGCUUUCUCAUUCUCGAAGCUGAAUCUGAAGUAGAAAACCAAAAUAAAAUGGCCCACUACCAUAACAACUAUAAAAAGAAUGAUGAGGUGGAGUUUGUCCGAACUGGCUAUGGGAAGGAAAUGGUAAAAGUUCUCCAUAUUCAGUGAGAUGGAAAAUAUCACAGCAUUAAAGAGGUGGCAACUUCAGUGCAACUUACUCUAAGUUCCAAAAAAGAUUACCUGCAUGGAGAUAAUUCAGACAUCAUCCCUACAGACACCAUCAAGAACACAGUUCAUGUCUUGGCAAAGUUUAAAGAAUCUUUUUACAAAUCAAAAGCAUAGAAGCCUUUGGUGUGAAUAUUUGUGAGCAUUUUCUUUCUUCUUUUAACCAUGUAAUCCGAGCUCAAGUCUACAUGGAAGAAAUCCCUUGGAAGCAUCUUGGAAAGAAUGGAGUUAAGCAUGUCCAUGCAUUUAUUCACACUCCCACUGGAACACACUUCUGUGAAGUUGAACAGCUGAGAAGUGGACCCCAAGUCAUUCAUUCUGGAAUCAAAGACCUCAAGGUCUUGAAAACAACACAGUCUGGAUUUGAAGGUUUCAUCAAGGACCAGUUCACUACCCUCCCUGAGGUGAAGGACUGAUGCUUUGCCACCCAAGUGUACUGCAAGUGGCGCUACCACCAGUGCAGGGAUGUGGACUUCAAGGCUACCUGGGACACCAUUCGGGACCUUGUCAUGGAGAAAUCUGCUGGGCCCUAUGACAAAGGUGAAUACUUGACCUCUGUGCAGAAGACCCUCUGUGAUAUCCAGGUGCUCUCCCUGAGCCGAGUUCCUGCGAUAGAAGAUAUGGAAAUCAGCCUGCCAAACAUUCACUACUUCAACAUAGACAUGUCCAAAAUGGGUCUGAUCAACAAGGAAGAGGUAAGAGGAAAUUGACUCAUCUCUCAACUAUUGCCAGAAUAAUAAGGCAUUACCAUGCUUGAAGUAACUUUAGUGGAGGACAUACACAUUUUCCUGUUUAGUCUUGCUGCCAUUAGACAAUCCAUAUGGAAAAAUUACUGGUACAGUCAAGAGGAAGUUGUCUUCAAGACUGUGACAUUGUGGCCACCAAUAGGAGUCCACUCUCAGCUGAGGAAUUCCUUAAGUCAUUUGUGAUGCUGGAGAUGAUAGCAUGUAGCCAUGCAAAAUUUCACACUAGUAUAUUGAUUUAUAGUGUUCACUUUCCUCCAAUAUGAAACAGUUUAUUUCUUCUACACCUAGCUCAGCAAGGCAUUCUGUGGAUUACCUUAUUAGUAAUUAUAACAGGCUUUAUGGCUAUAAUUUACUUUAAAAAUGCUGAGCAGUAUUAGAACAGUUAUAAAUCAAUAUUUCUUUUUGGUUAUCUUAUGCCUUCCUAUCUUGGAGAAGCUUUAGAAUCAAUUCAUUAAGAAAAUAAUCAUGAAUUAAUGAGUGUGUCACAUCAAUUAAUUUGUGCACAGGUUUAAGAAACAAAUAUUGUUUUCAUCCUACUGAUGCUUCUAAGUAAUGCAGAAAAUGAAAUAAAAUUAUAUUG